ensembl:lncRNA
CUUCAUUCAGACUCCUCCCUGCAUCUGCUUGAUAUCACUCUGCAGCUUGCAUCAUCUAUGUGUAUAUAUCACGGAGCAACUGUUUUAAAAUUCGGCUGAAUACUCAAUAUUUCAGGCCUUUUCACCAAGAAUAGCUGACCUUGCUCUUCUGAACACUUCUGCUUGAACACACUUAUCUGUCCUCCUGGGAGAGUAAGAAGAGAUGUAUUAUGACUUCUAAGAGGAAUUUGAAGUAGAGGUUGACUCCAGCAAAGCAAUCUGGAGAGGGAGGAUGCCACUCAUGUCGCCUUGGAACUGCUGAGUAAAAUCAAGAUGAGUCAAAACAAGUGAACAGGGUUUGACUGGCAUAGAGCAGCACAAUAGGGAGCACUUAAAGAGGAAAGAUAAAGAAGAUAGAUAAAUAUGAAAAUAAGCGAAUGGAAAAGUCAUACAGAUCACAGAGCUGAUUUUCUGAAGGAGAUGCAAAUAUGAGCACAGUGAACUCGUCUAGUACCUUAUUGCCUGUCACUAUCUCCAAAUCAAAAUAUUUCAAGAUUCUUUCACAAUUAAGGAACGUGAAGGUUCUUCAAAGUGUGGACUUGAAGUUUUCUCCCUAACCAGUCGCCAAUACUAUUAAAUCCUUUCCGAAACAAUUAAACUGUUUUAAAACCAGAAAAAGGAGAAGGAGCACGUGAAACCAUCAGGAAGGAAGUUGAAAGAAAUCCAGGGGAAGUUAAAAGCCUAAGUUAACUAUUCCCUGUAAGGAGAAUUAUUUGCUAUAGGAUAUUUUGGAUAAAGAAAUUUAUGUGGACUAAAAAAGUGACUGCACGAAUAUAUGGAGUGACUAUUAAAAAUAAAAACACCACCUCUUGCUGAGAAAGACUCUGAAUCUUGAAAACUAAGUCAAUAUUCUCAGGAAGUAUCGCUUUACAUUUAACCUGUUGUUUCCCUCUGCUCUAGACACCAUAACUGGCUGCUGGGUGCUUCUGCAGAGAGGUCACUUGGCUCAAGAUUCAUUUGGUCUAUACUAAAAUAUCUUAUACAUAUCAGCAUGGUCUAACUGUUGAUAAGUUCAAAAAUAUAAUGCAUAUGUAUUUAAUGACAUACAAAGUCAUUCACCACUUGCACAAAGCUUAAACCAGCACAACCCCGGGAUAUGACUUACUACAUUACAGUAAACAAUGAAGGAAUUGAAUUCUAGGCACUGUUUGCAAUAGACACAAGUGAAAAGGUGCAGAGUGGUUAUUCUGUGGUCUACAGCUUUCUGUUGCCAGAUUCUACUGUUUGUGUCUCUUAACUAAUCACUAUAUAUGUCAGUUUAAGAUUACUUUAAGGAGCAGAAUAACUCAGUAUGUUUUUCCAGUAAGAAAAUUGCUAUGUGUCCACAGUGUGGCAGUGUCUAGGUACAGAUAUGUCCUGCAUAAGUGCAAAAUAUUCUCAGUCAAUUUCACAGUCACAUCUCUUGCUAUAUUUCAUCUGUUGUUCCUUUUUUUCUCCUGUCUUCCUUUCUCUGUAAUAAAUUGAUCCAAGUGUAUUCUGCAGCUGUCAACCUACCUUUGCUGAAAUUUAAAACUUAUGAAAAAUAUUUUAGUUACUGUAUGUUCUGGACAUUUGAGAAAAUAUAUUAAACUACAACUUUGCUUUCUACUUUCACAUAUUUGUCCAAAGUUUUUAUGGUUGACUCAAGUGACACAGAUAAGAUUUGUUUAAUUCUGG